CCUACGGGAGGCAGCAGUGGGGAAUAUUGCACAAUGGGCGAAAGCCUGAUGCAGCGACGCCGCGUGAGGGAUGACGGCCUUCGGGUUGUAAACCUCUUUCAGCAGGGAAGAAGCGAAAGUGACGGUACCUGCAGAAGAAGCGCCGGCUAACUACGUGCCAGCAGCCGCGGUAAUACGUAGGGCGCGAGCGUUGUCCGGAAUUAUUGGGCGUAAAGAGCUCGUAGGCGGCUUGUCACGUCGGGUGUGAAAGCCCGGGGCUUAACCCCGGGUCUGCAUUCGAUACGGGCUAGCUAGAGUGUGGUAGGGGAGAUCGGAAUUCCUGGUGUAGCGGUGAAAUGCGCAGAUAUCAGGAGGAACACCGGUGGCGAAGGCGGAUCUCUGGGCCAUUACUGACGCUGAGGAGCGAAAGCGUGGGGAGCGAACAGGAUUAGAUACCCUGGUAGUCCACGCCGUAAACGGUGGGAACUAGGUGUUGGCGACAUUCCACGUCGUCGGUGCCGCAGCUAACGCAUUAAGUUCCCCGCCUGGGGAGUACGGCCGCAAGGCUAAAACUCAAAUGAAUUGACGG
rnacentral:rRNA from 1 species